UACGGGGGGGGUUAGUGUUAUUCAUCGUUACUGGGUGUAAAGCGCGCGUGGACUGUUUAAGAAGUUCUAGUUAAAAUAAUCUAAGCGUAACUUAGAAGUUAACUUUUAUACUCUUAUAACUUGAGGUUAAAAGAAGGAAGCUAUACUUCUCAGAGAAAUGUGAAAUUUGUCCGAACUGAGGGGGAUAACCAGCAGGCAAAAGCGGCUUCCUAUUAUAAUUCUGACGUUUUAGGCGCAAAAAGCCUGGGGAUCAAACGGGAUUA
rnacentral:rRNA from 1 species